UUUUGUUAGGAAAACAAGCUAUCUUCUUUUCUAACCUGGGCCCGGGAAAGUACUCCUGCUUUGGGCAAGGACUGUGGCUGGGUGAGGUUCAGCCAAUAUUGGCACCUGACUCUUCCAGUGCUGCAGGAUAAAAGCACAGAUUCUCGGCAACGUUCAGACCGUCUGUUGUCACUGCAAAAUGAGCAUUGGGCUUUUGAAGGCGUUGCAUCCUAGCCUGCUGUGGCUAGUAUCUAUGGAGGUAUCAGAUGUUUGGCGAGCGUGUAUUCGAGUGAGGAGUUUGCAGUCUGGCCCUAUGUCAUUCGCUCAUGUUGUGCAGUAAAGAACAGAAGCCCACGCUUAAUUUGAAGCAGAUGCAUAAGCCUGUCGAUGUCCAGCCAUGAGUGUAAAUACCUAGAUGGAUCCACGCCCAAAUGAUUCAUGUUUUUACUGUUCCACAGCAUUUAAUGUGUAUUUUUUGAAGUUAACAAGAGAGAUCUGUUGUUCAACUAUAGGAGAAGUGACCCUAAAGGUUUACUGGACAAGUCCUUCGUUUAUCUCACAGUAGAGUGACCCUAGGCGAAAUUUGUGCUAGAAUUCUUGUAUCGAUUUUGCUGCUUUUCGAUGUCUCAGGUUCUUCUCUCGAAAGGUUCUUCAGGCAGUGGUUGUCCUCUCCUGUAUUCGUUAUGGGAAAUGCAGCUUAUUUAUAAUCCGCACUAUUAAACAAAGUGGAAACACUUGGCCGUGUUUACAUUUUUCCCCCCUCAAAAGAGCGUUGUGGAAAGAAGCUGUAAUAGGACAGAGCCAAAUUUCUGCCACACUGGUAGCACCUCUCGGGGGCCCCGAUGUGCCGAGUGCUGCGGAGACACAGAGCGGGAGCUCGGGAGCUGUCGCCAUCUAAAUAGACAAAAGGUGAGCAGGGAAAUAGAGGGGAAGGGACUUGUUCCAGGUCACGCAGCAGUUCAGUGGCAGAAACCCCGCAGCCUGACUACCGAGCCAGUGUCGCUACCCACUGGGCCACACUGCCUCUUCCCCAGCCUGUCUCCCCGCUCUUGCUUUCCGCUUGCUCAGGGUCCGAGUCCCUCCUUCGCGGAGGAGCCUGCGCUUCAGCUCCGAGGUGAAGGUGGACAUGGUGCGGAGGCCCCGGGGUCUGAGCCGUUCCCCUGCGCGCCAUGAGAUGAGCCCCCCAGGCCCGGAGCUCUAGUUGUCCAGCGCCAGGCCCCGACCAUGAAUAACAAGGAAACCACAGAGCUCUCCGGUUAGUCCGUGUGGGGUGGGACCCCCACCAGCCCCCACUCCUGUCCCAGAGCCGGGGAGAGAACCCAGGCGUCCUGGCUCCCAGCCCCCC
rnacentral:lncRNA from 1 species